GCGGUAGCAACAGAGGACUCGACCCGGCUGGAGCUCCGGAGAGCGCGCGUGCGCCGUCACGAGCUCGGCGCUGCCGGGGCCGCGGGGUGGAAGCGAGUAUUCGACCGCCGUGCGGGCCGCGGGGAUGUUCCGAAAGGCCCGGCGGGUGAACGUGCGAAAGCGGAACGACUCCGAAGAGGAAGAGCGGGAACGCGAUGAGGAGCAGGAGCCGCCGCCGUUGUUGCCGCCGCCGGGCACGGGCGAAGAGGCGGGCCCCUGUGGCGGCGACAGGGCCCCUGGCGGGGAGUCGCUGCUGGGCCCGGGGCCGUCGCCGCCUUCCGCGCUGACCCCGGGCCUCGGGGCUGAGGCCGGGGGCGGCUUCCCCGGCGGCGCGGAGCCCGGCAACGGGCUGAAGCCGCGCAAGAGGCCUCGCGAGAACAAAGAGGUGCCCCGGGCCAGCCUGCUCAGCUUCCAGGACGAGGAGGAAGAAAAUGAAGAAGUUUUCAAAGUGAAGAAAUCAAGUUAUAGCAAAAAGAUAGUAAAAUUGCUCAAGAAGGAAUAUAAAGAAGAUCUUGAAAAAUCGAAGAUUAAGACAGAACUCAACUCAUCAGCUGAAAGUGAACAACCUUUGGACAAAACAGGACAUGUUAAGGAUACAAAUCAAGAAGAUGGAGUUAUCAUCAGUGAACAUGGUGAAGAUGAAAUGGAUAUGGAAAGUGAAAAAGAGGAAGAAAAGCCAAAGACUGGUGGAGCUUUUUCAAAUGCUUUAUCUUCAUUGAAUGUUCUUCGUCCAGGAGAAAUUCCAGAUGCAGCUUUUAUACAUGCUGCAAGGAAAAAGCGCCAAAUGGCCCGAGAAUUGGGAGAUUUCACUCCUCAUGAUAAUGAGCCUGGUAAAGGCCGCCUUGUUAGAGAAGAUGAGAAUGAUGCCAGUGAUGAUGAAGAUGAUGAUGAGAAACGCCGGAUAGUUUUUUCUGUGAAAGAAAAGUCACAAAGACAAAAAAUUGCUGAGGAAAUAGGAAUUGAGGGGAGUGAUGAUGAUGCUUUAGUAACUGGAGAACAGGAUGAAGAGCUCAGCCGAUGGGAACAGGAGCAGAUAAGGAAAGGAAUUAAUAUCCCUCAGGUUCAAGCCAGUCAACCCGCAGAAGUGAAUAUGUACUACCAGAACACUUACCAGACAAUGCCUUACGGCUCAUCCUAUGGCAUUCCUUAUAGUUAUACGGCCUAUGGAUCAUCAGAUGCCAAAUCUCAAAAAACAGAUAAUACAGUCCCUUUCAAAACUCCCAGUAAUGAGAUGACUCCCGUUACUAUUGAUUUGGUAAAGAAACAGCUUAAAGACAGGUAGGGCAGAUCAACUUCUUAAAGACCUGUCCGCUAGCUUUCUGUUCCCUCAGGCAACAUGUAGUCUGGGGUAGCAGAUGCAGAAUAUCAGCAAAGAAGAUUCACUGGCCCAGCUUCAAAAGCUAAACAGAAGAUGACUUCAUACUUUGUUCUGCUACCUUCUUGGAUUACUUCUGUGGAAGCCUCGAAAAAUUAUAAAAAAUGCCACUCCAUGAUCUUGUUGAAGACAUUUCUGAGUUUGUACCUCUUGGACUCUGAAAAAGUGUAGUCACGCUAUGGGGGGAAAAGCAAAACAGUGAGAUUUUGGUUAGCCCACAAAACUGCGAAAUCUGUAAACUGCCAUUUUUUUGUUUUUUGAGAAAAAAAGCAGUACAGA
rnacentral:sRNA from 1 species